rnacentral:rRNA from 1 species
AACGGGUGAGUAAUGCGUGACCAACCUGCCCCAUGCUCCAGAAUAGCUCUUGGAAACGGGUGGUAAUGCUGGAUGCUCCAACUUGACGCAUGUCUUGUUGGGAAAGUGUUUAGUGGCAUGGGAUGGGGUCGCGUCCUAUCAGCUUGUAGGCGGGGUAAUGGCCCACCUAGGCUUCGACGGGUAGCCGGCCUGAGAGGGCGGACGGCCACAUUGGGACUGAGAUACGGCCCAGACUCCUCGGGAGGCAGCAGGA